GGGAAGGGAAGAGUGUGGUCCCUUUAAAUGAUACAGAAGAGGGGAAAGGAAGUGCUGGCUAGAGGAGGGCAUGGUCCCUGGCUAGGGCUCCACCUCUGGGCCUGUGCCCAUGGACCUAGUUGAGGACAGGAAUUUUUGUUUUCCUGCCCAAAUGUUGCAUUUCCCAAGACCACCCUGGCCUACCAUGACCCCAUCCUGUGCCUAUAAAAACCCCCGAGAGCCUAGCGGGGAGACACACAGGCAGCUGAAGUCAAGAGGAGCACAUCAGCGGAGGAACACACGGGCAGCUGGAUGUUGAAAGGAACACACUGACAGGCACCAGCAUCCCAGCAGGCCACCAACUGGCAGAAUGACGGCAGAGUUUGCCUGGGGAAGUUGGAGGAGAGCUCUGGGGAAAACCAUCCCCGGAGAGACUCCAGGGGACAAUCCAUCUCCCUUAUGGCUCCUCCAUCUGCUCAGAGCUCUUCCUCCAGUGACACUUCUCAGUGAAACCCAAGUGAUUCUCCAAGCCCAUGUGUGAUCCAAUUCUUCCGGUACACAAAGGCAAGAACCCCAGGAUACAGAAAGCCCUCUGUCCAUGUGAUAAGGCAGGGGUCUAACUGAGCUGACUAACACAGCCACCUAUGGACCCUAACAGAGUCUACUGUAACACAUGCCCACUGGGGUUUCAGUUGUGAACACUCAAGCCCUAGACGUUGUCGUGGAGUCAGAGCCCCACAGCCUGCCCGUCUGUAUGCUCCCCUAGAGGCUGGAGCAGCAAGGCACUGAAGAAGCGAGUCAUAUCCCAUCAUAUGCCCUGCGAGGAGGACAAGGAAACUUCCCAUUACAACUGGGGAUCGUCUGGGAUCGCAGAAGAAUGUGCAACCAGUUCUCUUCACCAUCCCCAGCUUAUACUCCUCUAAAGUGUAUCCUGAACAAUUGGGACUGCUUUGAUCCUCAGAAUCUGGAGGAAAAUGGCCUCAUAGCCCUCUGCACAAAGACCCUAGCAGAUAGACACACAGGUGCUGGACAUAAGGAAGAGCACCACCAGUGAAGAAAGACAUGCACACGGGUAUCGGGACAUUGAGAGGCGCACACCGACAGGCACCAGCGUGCUGGCAGGCCACCAACCAGCGGAACAAUGCGGAGUUUGGCUGGGGCAGUUGGAGGAGAGCUAGGGCCACCAACUGGCCCAACUCCAGGGAAAAAUCAUCUCCCUUCUGGCUCCCCCAUCUGCUGAGAGCUACUUCCACUUAAUAAAACCUUGCACUCCUUCUCCAAGCC
rnacentral:lncRNA from 10 species